UUCUGUGUUUCAGGUGGAGGGGGAGCGUCUGAUGUUCAGACAGAGGCUGAGUGACAGCCGCAAUCUCAGAGUUUGGACACCCCAGAAGAAUAGCGUCUGCGCGGCAGAGUGAGGGAGCUGGAGGACCAGGUGAGUCAGCUGCGUCCUCUCAGUGGCUGUUGAUCAGCACAGAGGGCAGAUUUUAUCCAGCAUUCCUCCAGGAACAGCCAAUGGCUGAUCUCUCUGAGACGUGACCUCACCGACUCGCUGGACACUGUCCACACGCCGUCCUAUCCCGUCCGUCCUGGAGUCUGAGACGCAGCGAUUGACCGCAGCCUGAGAGAUGGAGGAGCUUAGGAUGUCUCUCAGCCAAUCGUAACGCCUGAAAGAUAAAAACUGUGAACUGAAGCUUCCUGACCAAAAAAACUUGAAACCUCUAUGAGCUCAGAGACAACCUGCUGCACUGCUUUAAGCUUUUUAAAGGACACUGAACGCACCAAAGAGGUUUGGAGCUGCUCAUCACAUGAAACCUGAUACGUGCUGCAUUCAGGUACUAAAGGGACAGUUGGAUUAUACACAACUGAAGUCUUUAUUAAAGGUUGUACUCAUCCUUAUUUCAGUGUGACGGAGGCUGGCCCGUCUGAGCGGCCCUGAAUGUAACACAGCUCCCUGCAGGUCUGAGUCCUGCUGCUGUCACCUGUUCUGUGGUUCACCUGACCUCAGGUGUUUGUUUCAGAAUCACUAACCGGUUCAUUUUCUCUGACAUCACAGAAACGGUCCAAUCAGUGAUCGGCCUGUCAGAGUAUGCUCUGUUUUUAAAAAGUGGUGUGAGCUGGAACCAGAUGACCAGACAAUCAAUCGAAGACGACAAUUAUCUAUUUUACUUUGUUCCAGACAAAAGUAAUCAAAACCCAGAUUUCGGUUCAAAGGUUAUGGUCUGUGUUACAAUGUUUGAAGUUAAAGUUCAUCAGCUCCACCUCCAACCUGAACCUGCUCAGGUGUCGUUGUUUGAAAACAUCGAUAAGACCUGAAGCUCAGCAGCAGAGAGACUGCAGCGCUCUCAGUGCUUCCGGGGGUGUACUGCAGUCUGAUGGCGGUAGUAUAAAACCUCCAAAUGUAGCUUUAAUCCAGAGUCAUAGAUCAGGUUUGAAACACGGACACAUGACGGAGGGUUAGUAAAGACCACGCCUCCUCUCUUCCUCUCCUCCUCUCCUAUGUUUGACCUCAGGUCUUUAAUAUUUUACUCUAAAAGAGGAGUCUGCUGCUGGACGGACUCUUUAAACUCUGCUACUCUGAGAUCUGAAGACCUGGUAAAAUUACAUAUUUGUUUACAACAUGAUGAGUCUGGUUUCUGAACAGCCUGAGGUUCAAAGUUACAAAACACAUCGAAAGAACUUUAGCUUCUUGUUUCUUGACUUGUUCAUUCUUUCACUCCACCUCAAAGGGAAAAUUCAACUUCAAACUAUAUUAUAUUUAAAACCAGUACAUGUGAGACUAACGUGAUGAACUCCAGCACACGUCAAACUAACGGAGUCGUUCAGCCUCUAAACUCCAUUCAGUUCAAUGAACUUUCUGAAUCUUUAGUGUUUUAAUCAGUUUGUUUAAAGAGUUUCUUCAUUUUUUAAACAAACUGAUUUUUAUCCAAAUUAAAAACAUAAUUUUUAUUUGUUCAGAUUUUGUAGACCUCAGCUAUAAAAUUCUAAAAACCUUUUGUAGAAGAACUUUUAUUUUGGUGCUAACUGCGCUGACUCUGACUCUGUUUACUUAAAGUGUUUGUAGUUCAUAUUUAAACUGUUUGUUCCUCAAUCCGUCAUAGAAAGUUACAAACAUUCACAGGAGCUCUGUUCUCUGACAGGAUAGAUGUUUACUUGUUUAUUUAUUGUUUCCUGUUUGUAUUUAUAUCCCUCCUUGUGUCAGUCACACCCUGAGCUGUGACCACACUACAUUACCCAGAAUCCUCCAGCCUGAGCUGUGAGUCUGACUCAGGUAAAGGUCAAAGGUCAGCUGUGAUUGUGACAUUGAAUAAAACCAAAGUUUAGAUUUUUAAA